rnacentral:rRNA from 1 species
UACGUAGGGUGCGAGCGUUGUCCGGAAUUACUGGGCGUAAAGAGCUCGUAGGUGGUUUGUCGCGUUGUUCGUGAAAUCCCACGGCUUAACUGUGGGCGUGCGGGCGAUACGGGCAGACUGGAGUACUGCAGGGGAGACUGGAAUUCCUGGUGUAGCGGUGGAAUGCGCAGAUAUCAGGAGGAACACCGGUGGCGAAGGCGGGUCUCUGGGCAGUAACUGACGCUGAGGAGCGAAAGCAUGGGGAGCGAACAGG